AAUCGUUAUUCAAGACCAUUUAUAUGACCGGCUGUUCAGAGUCACUUGACAUCAAAGUAUAUCAAGAGUGCCGGUCAACACCGAAAAUUUCUACUGGAAAAAAUGUGGCUGGUAACUGGACGAAGAAAGAAAUGGCUGGACAAUGACACAUAAGCUAAUUGAUUUGAUCAAAAGUAUCAUACGAAGGACGUACAUAAGUACUGAACACUGCUCAUCUCGAAUAUUCACUAUAAAAUUACAUGACCUUUGAAGCCACGACACCAGAAGAAGAUGACAACGAAGAGAAAGUACAGAAGAGUCCAAGUAUUAUGUUGAAAAGUUUAUAAAUUUGCCUCCCUGCUACACUUAUCCGGUGAUGUACACACACACAGCAGGGGAAACAAAGUUUCGAUGAGACGUCUGGCGGACUGGCUGUCAUCUCCGGCACUGAACCCAGAUUACAGCUGUCAUCAAAUUAACUCGAACGUAGACGACCUUAAGAGAUCCGGUGUGUCUUUGGUUUGAACACAGCUCCAGCUACGUUAAUAAUGACCUGGCCCACAACCGACUUAUUGGCCAGUAAUUAACAGCUGACCCCUGUACUUGAAGGAGGUAGAGGGAUGACUCUGUCAGCCUUUAUCAGUGCAGACAAAACCCGGUGGGUCCUGAAAUUGUUCGAGACUGGCGCCACCAACGUCAAAUUUAUGUACUGAUUACUGCUUUAUUUGAUCGUUAAAAUCGAAUUUCCUAAUACGUUUGUGAGUCAGAGUAGUGAACUGAAACGAAAAAAUAACAAUACUAUAUUUUUUAAAUUAAACUCAUUACAAGAAACGAGAGUAUAACAGUCUGUUAGAUAAAUAGAAAGAUAACAGAAAUAAUAGAUAGAUAUUCUUCAAAACUGCCCACCAGUGGCACAGCGGCAUGUCUGCGGACUUACACCGCUAGAAACCGGGUUUCGAUACCUGUGGUGGGAAGAGCACAGAUAGCCCUUUGUGUACCUUCAAAACUUCGCCUCUUGAAGGAAACUGACAAUAGAAACAGUUUUAAAAGAAAAACAUGAAACACAGUUUGAUGGUGCUACGUAUACGUCAUCUGUCCAUCUAUUACCCUAAAUAUCCAGAAUUAAUGUACAGACUAACACACCUAUCAAGUAAGUGUUUAACAACACUUUAUUUCCAGUGUUACAUCAACUAAAUCUUUGUUACUUGUGGUAUUUUCAAACAGCCAACGAUUAGUAAUAAAACAGAUUGAUAAACAUGUUUACCUCUGAUGAAACAUGGUUCCUCUACUGUUAUAUCUAUAAAUACACACCCUCCAUACUGUUAUAUCUAUAGAUACACAACCACCAUAUUGUUAUAUCUAGAAAUACACAUCUCCCCACAUUGUUAUAUCUAUAAAUACACAUCUCUCCAUACUUCUGUA